rnacentral:rRNA from 1 species
UACGUAGGGGGCAAGCGUUGUCCGGAAUCAUUGGGCGUAAAGAGCGUGUAGGCGGCUCGAUAAGUCUGCUGUGAAAGUCCAGGGCUCAACCCUGGAAGGCCGGUGGAAACUGUCGGGCUAGAGUCCGGAAGAGGCGAGUGGAAUUCCCGGUGUAGCGGUGAAAUGCGCAGAUAUCGGGAGGAACACCGAUGGCGAAGGCAGGUCUCUGGGCCGAUACUGACGCUGAGGAGCGAAAGCGUGGGGAGCGA